rnacentral:misc_RNA from 1 species
GAUGAAGAACGUAGUGAAAUGCGAUAAGUAAUGUGAAUUGCAGAAUCCAGUGAAUCAUCGAAUCUUUGAACGCACAUUGCGCCCGCCAGCAUUCUGGCGGGCAUGCCUGUUCGAGCGUCAUUUCAACCCUCGACCUCCCCUUGGGGAGGUCGGCGUUGGGGACCGGCAGCACACCGCCGGCCCUGAAAUGGAGUGGCGGCCCGUCUGCGGCGACCUCUGCGUAGUAAUACAGCUCGCACCGGAACCCCGACGCGGCCACGCCGUAAAACACCCAACUUCUGAACGUUGACCUCGAAUCAGGUAGGACUACCCGCUGAACUUAAGCGUAUCAAUAAGCGGAGGA